UCCGCAAGAACAGGAUCAUGAAGAAUAUCUAAGUGAUAUUAGACAAUAUAAUAAGGAUAUGAAAAAACUUCCUAAAACAACAAGAAAUCAAAAAUAUGCACUAAAAGGUAUUAAAGGAUCUAGUACUCUGUCAUAACUUCCAGAAUUUAAUUGUGUUUCGGGUUAUCCGCAUGAUUAUAUGCAUGGAGUGUUUUUAGGUGUGACAUGUCAACUAUGGAUAAAUGGAGUCAAACAUGUUUGUCAUCUGAUGAAAGAGAACUCUUUUUUAAUGUCUUUUUUAAUGCCACUUUUAGAAAAAUUAUUUAACAAGAGAUCAGUAUGAUAAUUAUUAAGAUCACAGAGCUCGCACUGACUCUCGUGAGUGAUAUUUGCAAUAUCAGAUCUCUUUACUUUACAAAAUCUACAAAAAUACGUAGCAUUAAAACAUUCAGUAAAUCCAAGAAGUGAGUGGACUCCUAAAUUAUCUCCAAGUAUUAACGAUGAUUGAAAAUACAAUUCUAUUGAGCAAGAAGAUUCUAAACUUCGCCGGUAUUCAAUUGUUUUUCGUAAUACAUUUGGAGAUUCAAAAAAAUUUUUCUAAACUUCUGCAAACGCUAUUUUUUAAUCACCAUCGAUUGCACGUACAGCAGGUCCUGGCUUACGUACUGCAGAAAGACUGCAAUGACUCGAAGUCUCACUGAGCAUGGACUGAAAAGCAUUGCAGUUGCAAAACCUAGCUUCUCUUACCUCACUCAAGAAUUCUCAUUGGCCAACUCUUAACUUUAACCCCUCUCCUCUCAAUCAAGUCAUCUCAUUGGAGCGCAGAUACCGAUUUUUCCCACUCCGUUGAGAGCAUUCUAGAACCCGACUCGGGUGUAAAAGAAGGGGAUCUGAGAGCGGAAGUCCAACAGUCAAUUGAUCGAUUUCGUAGUGAACAAUGAUAUUAACUAAUCUUUUUCGAUGAGCUUCAUCAAAACACUGGUGUUGUUUAUAGUAACGGAAAAUUUGUUUGCCUUCGGAAGAUGACCCAACUACUUCGUCCAGUUUCUAAAUAGUAGUUUAUCUAUCUAGUGCGAUCGUGUUUAAGACGCGAGUGUGAAGAUUGAUGCCCGAGCCGAAGGCGAUUGAUUCAUUUAUUGUAUUGUUUUAUCCGUUAUAAUAAUUAUUUUUAUUUUAAUACCGGUGACAUUGACGCUCAAGUGACUUUUUUAUACACUACGAGAGUUUUAUAAAUUUUUUAAAACAACUUUUGUUCAAUUUAUAGUAAUCUCGGCGGAAAAGUCGUCCUCUCACUACCAUUAGUUGGCACGUAUUUCCUAUACCCCCACUAUCCAUUUUGAGACGACUUUUUCGUCGGGACUGCUAUAAUUCCGGAUUUAAUCUAUUAGUUGAUUUAAUUAAUUUAUUUCUAUCGACUAGAGUGGAGACUAGAUUCGAAAAUAAAUUUUCCGGUGCGUGGUUUACACAAUCUGCCUGGAUUUACGGAUAAAUUUAAGGUCUACUUCCGGUUUCGAAUUAUUUUAUAUUUUGAUUGAUUAUGACCAUGUACAAUAUAUACGCGACAAUACUAGAUAGACCCGACGUAUACGACUAAGUAUUUAUUUAAUUAUUCCGACCUCCCUGCCUGGAAUAAAUUAAUAAAUAUUGGUUAACAAUCUGUUGAGUCUCUGGAUUCGUCGUGGUCCUUAUCCGUGUAUGUGUCUCGUUCUUCUAUA